AAAAAAAACAUAAGGGGUAACACUGUUGUUUUUUAUUGGUCGUCAUGAAAAAAAACACGCAGUCAUAUAUAACCUCAGACAUAAUUAAAUUACAAAUCUCAGUGGGAAGUGGAGAGAGCUUUGAGCUUUCCUUCUGGAGACCGGGGUUCAAGUCCGGUUGAUGUCUUCUGUUGGUAGACUCUUAUCUCUAUUUCAUGCGAAUUAUAAAGUCAAGUAUAACCUUUGUGAUGUCGUUUUCCGGUGUCUUGAUGGUGCAUUGAUAAGUUCGGAGGAUAACACUAUAAACAGCUCAGGUUCGGAUCCACGCAAAAACGUCGACAGGGGUACCACUGUCGUUAUUUAUUGGUCAACAUGGAAAAAACAUAAAAAGGGGUAACACUGUUGUUUUUUAUUGGUCGUCAUGAAUAAAAACAUAAGGGGUAAUACUGUUGUUUUCUAUUGGUCGUCAUGAAAAAAACCAUAAGGGGUAACACUGUUGUCUUUGUCAAAUAAAAUAUAAGGGGUAACACUGUUGUUUUUUAUUGGUCAUCAUGAAAAAAAACAUAAGGGGUAACACUGUUGUUUUUUUAUUGGUCGAAUAAAAACAUAAGGGGUAAUACUGUUGUUUUCUAUUGGUCGUCAUGAAAAAAAACAUAAGGGGUAACACUGUUGUCUUUGUCAAAUAAAAUAUAAGGGGUAACACUGUCGAUAUUUAUCAAAUAAAAAAUAGGGGGUAACACUGUUGUUUUUCUUUGGUCGUCAUGAAGAAAAACAUAAGGGGUAACACUGUUGUUUUUUAUUGGUCGUCAUGAAAAAAAACAUAAGGGUUACUUAUGUUUUUGUUUUUUAUUGGUCGUCAUGAAAAAAAACAUAAUGGGUAAUACUCUCGUUUUUUAAUGGUCGUCAUGAAAAAAAACAUAAGGGGUAACACUGUUGUCUUUGUCAAAUAAAAUAAAAGGGGUAACACUGUCGUAUUUUAUUAGUCGUAAUGAAAAAAAACAUGUUUAAAAAAAUAAAAAUUGUCUUUCUCAAAUAAAAUAUAAGGGGUAUAACUGUUGUUCUUCAUCAGUCAUCAUGGGAAAAAAACAUAAAGGGUAACACUGUCGAUAUUUAUCAAAUAAAACAUAGGGGGUAACACUGUCGUUUUUAUCAAAUGAAACAUGAGGGGUGACACUGUCGUUUUUCUUUGGUCGUCAUGAAAAAAAAAAAAAAGGGGUAACAAUGUUGUUUUUUAUUGGUUGUCAUGAAUAAAAACAUAAGGGGUAAUACUGUUGUUUUCUAUUGGUCGUCAUGAAAAAAAACAUAAGGGGUAACACUGUUGUCUUUGUCAAAUAAAAUAUAAGGGGUAACACUGUUGUUUUUUAUUGGUCAUCAUGAAAAAAAGCAUAAGGGGUAACACUGUCGUUUUUAUCAAAUGAAACAUGAGGGGUAACACUGUCGUUUUUAUCAAAUGAAACAUAAGGGGUAGCACUGUCGUUUUUUAUCGGCCGUCAUGAAAAAAACAUAAGGGGUAACACUGUUGAUAUUUAUCCAUUAAAACAUAGGGGGUAACACUGUCGUUUUUAUCAAAUGAAACAUGAGGGGUGACACUGUCGUUUUUCUUUGGUCGUCAUGAAAAAAAAAAAAAAAGGGGUAACACUGUUGUUUUUUAUUGGUCGUCAUGAAUAAAAACAUAAGGGGUAAUACUGUUGUUUUCUAUUGGUCGUCAUGAAAAAAACCAUAAGGGGUAACACUGUUGUCUUUGUCAAAUAAAAUAUAAGGGGUAACACUGUUGUUUUUUAUUGGUCAUCAUGAAAAAAAACAUAAGGGGUAACACUGUUGUUUUUUUAUUGGUCGAAUAAAAACAUAAGGGGUAAUACUGUUGUUUUCUAUUGGUCGUCAUGAAAAAAAACAUAAGGGGUAACACUGUUGUCUUUGUCAAAUAAAAUAUAAGGGGUAACACUGUCGAUAUUUAUCAAAUAAAAAAUAGGGGGUAACACUGUUGUUUUUCUUUGGUCGUCAUGAAGAAAAACAUAAGGGGUAACACUGUUGUUUUUUAUUGGUCGUCAUGAAAAAAAACAUAAGGGUUACUUAUGUUUUUGUUUUUUAUUGGUCGUCAUGAAAAAAAACAUAAUGGGUAACACUGUCGAUAUUUAUCAAUUAAAACAUAGGGGGUAACACUGUCGUUUUUAUCAAAUUAAACAUGAGGGGUGACACUGUCGGAUAUUACAGUUUUUGUUUUUGGUCUGUUGGCUGCAAAACAUUCUGAGUUAGCAUACAUACUUGAUGAUUGAGCCACUUUACACACACUUUUUAUAUACUAUAGAUUUGUAUAGUCACUGGCCCCCUUUAAAUUGUGCAUUUAUGCUAUUACUAUAGCCUACUAUUAUUAUUGACACUUUUCUUUUUAGAAAAUUGUAACUUUAAUUUCAAUUUUCAUAUUUUGUUCUUUGGUUAUACAUUUGAAUACUCUACUAUCAUGAUUCGUGGCACAUUAUAUAUUUAUUUUUACUCUUUUUUUUACGGUAUUGUGUCUGUGAAUUAGAGUUUUUAUUUGUUUUGUUACACUUAUAUCAAAGUAUAUUACACUAUAACUUUCUUCAUAGGAUAUUUUAUUAGUCUUUGACAUUUAUCAAACCAAUAGGCUAUACAAUGUAAUCAAUAUAAAUAUUGUAAACAUCACUGUAUUGCAAAGUUAAUUCAAUAUUAAUUAAAUAUAGAUGGAUAGACCAAUAGGCCUAUUUAUUUAUAUAUAUUAUAAAAAGGCCUAUUGGUCUAUCAAUAUCUAAGCUAGGUAUAUAUUAUUCUUUUUUAUUAUACUGACGCACGUAUAUUUAUUCUGUUCAAUGAGAUGUUAACUGA
rnacentral:lncRNA from 1 species